AACGGCCGUACCAUGCUGAAUAUACCGGUUCUCGUUCGAUCACCGAAGUCAAGCAUCAUUGGGCGCGGUCAGUACUUGGGUGGGUGAACAC
rnacentral:rRNA from 1 species